UACGUAGGGCGCAAGCGUUGUCCGGAAUUAUUGGGCGUAAAGAGCUCGUAGGCGGUUUGUCGCGUCUGCUGUGAAAUCCCGAGGCUCAACCUCGGGCUUGCAGUGGGUACGGGCAGACUAGAGUGCGGUAGGGGAGAGUGGAAUUCCUGGUGUAGCGGUGAAAUGCGCAGAUAUCAGGAAGAACACCCGUGGCGAAAGCGGCUCUCUGGAACGGUACUGACGCUGAGACGCGAAAGCGUGGGGAGCGAACAGG
rnacentral:rRNA from 1 species